rnacentral:rRNA from 1 species
AUUGAACGCUGGCGGCAUGCUUUACACAUGCAAGUCGAACGGUAACAGGGAGCUUGCUCCGCUGACGAGUGGCGAACGGGUGAGUAAUGCGUCGGAACGUGCCGAGUAGUGGGGGAUAACGCAGCGAAAGUUGUGCUAAUACCGCAUAAGUACUGAGGUAGAAAGUGGGGGACCUUCGGGCCUCACGCUAUUCGACCGGCCGACGUCUGAUUAGCUAGUAGGUGAGGGAAAGGCUCACCUAGGCGACGAUCAGUAUCGGGUCUGAGAGGAUGAUCCGCCACACUGGGACUGAGACACGGCACAGACUCCUACGGAGGCAGCAGUGGGGAAUUUUGGACAAUGGGCGAAAGCCUGAUCCAGCCAUGCCGCGUGUCUGAAGAAGGCCUUCGGGUUGUAAAAGACUUUUGUCGGGGAGGAAAUCCCCAGCGCUACUACCGCUGGGGGAUGACAGUACCUGAAGAAUAAGCACCGGCUAACUACGUGCCAGCCGCCGCCGUAAAAC